rnacentral:tRNA from 1 species
GGAAUAUAGCUCAGUUGGUAGAGUGCUUGCCUUGCAUGCAAAAGGCCCUGGAUUCAAUCCCCAGCACCA